AUUGAACGCUGGCGGCAGGCUUAACACAUGCAAGUCGAGCGAGCGGCGGACGGGUGAGUAAUGUAUGGGGAACUGCCUGAUAGAGGGGGAUAACUACUGGAAACGGUCGCUAAUACCGCAUACCAUCGGAUGUACCCAUAUGGGAUUAGCUAGUAGGUGGGGUAAAGGCUACCCUAGGCGACGAUCCCUAGCUGGUCUUAGAGGAUGAGCAGCCACACUGGGACUGAGACACGGUCCAUACUCCUACGGGAGGCAUCAGUGGGGAAUAUUGCACAAUGGGCGCAAGCCUGAUGCAGCCAUGCCGCGUGUAUGAAGAAGGCCUUAGGGUUGUAAAGUACUUUCAGCGUGGAGGCGUUACCCGCAGAAGAAGCACCGGCUAACUCCGUGCCAGCAGCCGCGGUAAUUC
rnacentral:rRNA from 1 species